GUCUAUGGCCAUACCACCCUGAACGCGCCCGAUCUCAUCUGAUCUCGGAAGCUAAGCAGGGUCGGGCCUGGUUAGUACUUGGAUGGGAGAAAUAGGGUCAUGGCAGAGG
rnacentral:rRNA from 1 species